rnacentral:piRNA from 1 species
UCCUAUGUUGCGUUCUCGGAGCUUGAGUC